rnacentral:rRNA from 1 species
UAACCCCGGGAAACCGGGGCUAAUACCGGAUAAUACUUUUCGUUGCAUAACGAGAAGUUGAAAGGCGGCUUUUAGCUGUCACUUACAGAUGGGCCCGCGGCGCAUUAGCUAGUUGGUAAGGUAACGGCUUACCAAGGCGACGAUGCGUAGCCGACCUGAGAGGGUGAUCGGCCACACUGGGACUGAGACACGGCCCAGACUCCUACGGGAGGCAGCAGUAGGGAAUCUUCCGCAAUGGACGAAAGUCUGACGGAGCAACGCCGCGUGAGUGAUGAAGGUUUUCGGAUCGUAAAACUCUGUUGUCAGGGAAGAACAAGUGCCGUUCAAAUAGGGCGGCACCUUGACGGUACCUGACCAGAAAGCCCCGGCUAACUACGUGCCAGCAGCCGCGGUAAUACGUAGGGGGCAAGCGUUGUCCGGAAUUAUUGGGCGUAAAGCGCGCGCAGGCGGUCCUUUAAGUCUGAUGUGAAAGCCCACGGCUUAACCGUGGAGGGCCAUUGGAAACUGGAGGACUUGAGUACAGAAGAGGAGAGUGGAAUUCCACGUGUAGCGGUGAAAUGCGUAGAGAUGUGGAGGAACACCAGUGGCGAAUGCGACUCUCUGGUCUGUAACUGACGCUGAGGUGCGAAAGCGUGGGGAGCGAACAGGAUUAGAUACCCUGGUAGUCCACGCCGUAAACGAUGAGUGCUAGGUGUUAGGGGG